GCUGGGGCUUGUUAACUUGUUCAUUUUCAAAUUCCCUCCUAGCUCCUACUAUAGAGUCCGGCUCACACAGAAUGCUUAAUCAAUCUUUAUUUGAUUAGAGUUUUGGCAUCCCAGCCCUGUUUUGAUGACUAACUGAAGAAUGAGGACCUGAUUCUACCAUGUUGUCAAACUGCUCUGUGUUCUGCCAUCAUGUCCACAUUCCAGGUGGGCAAAAGAAGAAAGGAGUAGAAGAAGGAAAAGAAUUUGACUGGCCUUUGUCCCUGGCUCCUGAGAAAAAAGAA
rnacentral:lncRNA from 10 species